rnacentral:RNase_P_RNA from 1 species
UGAGUCAGCUAGGCAGUCGCGAGCGCUCUUGCGUUCGAGGAACGUCCGGGCUCCACAGGGAGCAGUGGUGGGUAACGCCCACUCGGGGUGACCCGCAGGAAAGUGCCACAGAAAAGAAACCGCCAGCAAUGGUAAGGGUGAAAAGGCGAGGUAAGAGCUCACCGCAUGUCUGGUGACAGAUAUGGCAUGGUAAACCCCACUGGGAGCAAGACCAAGCAGUGCGCGUCGAGGCGUCCCGCUGAGUGCACGGGUAGGUUGCUUGAGCUCAACGGUAACGUUGAGUCUAGAUGGAUGGCUGCCGCUGACCACUUGGCCAGCACAGAACCCGGCGUAUCGGCUGACUCAUUCG